UACGUAGGGUGCAAGCGUUGUCCGGAAUUAUUGGGCGUAAAGAGCUCGUAGGCGGUUUGUCACGUCGGAUGUGAAACCCUGAGGCUCAACCUCAGGCCUGCAUUCGAUACGGGCAGACUAGAAUUCGGCAGGGAGACUGGAAUUCCUGGUGUAGCGGUGAAAUGCGCAGAUAUCAGGAGGAACACCGGUGGCGAAGGCGGGUCUCUGGGCCGAUAUUGACGCUGAGGAGCGAAAGCGUGGGGAGCAAACAGG
rnacentral:rRNA from 1 species